UUAAGACCUAACAAUAUGCCGGAUAAUAAAAUCAACUGAUUAAAAUUCAAAGGAUAUGGCGGUGUUUUUAUAUUAAUCAGGGGAACCUGUUUCUUAAUUCGAUAUUCCACGCAAUUUCAACCUCUUCUUGAAUAUCAGCUUGUGUACUGCUGUCGCCAGUAGACCUAUAAAAGAAAGUUUACAAUAAAUAUAAUCUAUUUUACGUCAAGUCAAAGUGCAGCUAAUGAAGAGGAGAUAAUGGGUUACAACCUUAACAUAGAUUACGGCAUGACAAAAUAAAAAUGUCAUAAAGGUGGACUUGAAAGUAAUAUUUAUACCAUAAAAAUAUAAAAAUUUCUAAAACAUGUACACAUCGCCCGUCACUCUCAUCUAAAGACA
rnacentral:rRNA from 1 species